GUCUAUGGCCACGCCACCCUGAACAAGCCCGAUCUCAUCUGAUCUCAGAAGCUAAGCAGGGUCGGGCCUGGUUAGUACUUGGAUGGAAGACCACCUAGGAAGACCAGGUGCUGUAGGCA
rnacentral:rRNA from 1 species